rnacentral:rRNA from 1 species
UACGUAGGGUGCGAGCGUUACUCGGAAUUACUGGGCGUAAAGGGUGCGUAGGUGGUCGUUUAAGUCCGUUGUGAAAUCCCUGGGCUCAACCUGGGAAUGGCAGUGGAUACUGGACGGCUAGAAUGCGGUAGAGGGUAGUGGAAUUCCCGGUGUAGCGGUGAAAUGCGUAGAUAUCGGAAGGAACAUCAGUGGCGAAAGCGGCUUCCUGGACCAGAACUGACGAUCAGGCUCGAAAGCGUGGGGAGCAAACAGG